rnacentral:rRNA from 1 species
UACGUAGGGUGCGAGCGUUUAAUCGGAAUUACUGGGCGUAAAGCGUGCGCAGGCGGUUCGUUGUGUCGGCGGUGAAAGCCCCGGGCUUAACCUGGGAAUGGCCGUUGAAACUGGCGAACUGGAGUGUGGCAGAGGGGGGGUGGAAUUCCGCGUGUAGCAGUGAAAUGCGUAGAGAUGUGGAGGAAUACCGAUGGCGAAGGCAGCCCCCCUGGGAUAACACUGACGCUCAUGCACGAAAGCGUGGGGAGCAAACAGG